UGAUAGAGAUUGUGAGUGGAAAAGAAACAUUAAUUUCGUUGUGAAGAUCUCUCUCAAAUUCUCCAAAUAUGGGCAUGGAAAGAGUGGAAAAAAGGUAAAGUAUUGGAGAUAAUAGAUUCAUCAAUACGUGAUACAUGUUCUGUUCAGCAAGUUGAAAGGUGUAUUAACAUCGGAUUGUUAUGUGUUCAAGAAGCACCAAUUGAUCGACCAACUAUGUCUUCAGUGAUUUUGAUGUUAGAAAA